rnacentral:rRNA from 1 species
UACGUAGGGGGGCGAGCGUUGUCCGGAUUUAUUGGGCGUAAAGAGCUCGUAGGCGGUUUGGCAAGUCGGGUGUGAAAACUCCGGCUCAACUCGGAGACGCCACUCGAUACUGCUAUGACUCGAGUCCGGUAGGGGAGUGCGGAAUUCCUGGUGUAGCGGUGAAAUGCGCAGAUAUCAGGAGGAACACCGGUGGCGAAGGCGGCACUCUGGGCCGGUACUGACGCUGAGGAGCGAAAGCGUGGGGAGCGAACAGG